UACGAAGGGGGCUAGCGUUGCUCGGAAUUACUGGGCGUAAAGCGCACGUAGGCGGCUUGUUAAGUCAGGGGUGAAAUCCUGGAGCUCAACUCCAGAACUGCCUUUGAUACUGGCGAGCUUGAGUUCGGGAGAGGUGAGUGGAACUGCGAGUGUAGAGGUGAAAUUCGUAGAUAUUCGCAAGAACACCAGUGGCGAAGGCGGCUCACUGGCCUGAUACUGACGCUGAGGUGCGAAAGCGUGGGGAGCAAACAGG
rnacentral:rRNA from 1 species